UUUUAAGGCUCAAAACAGUUCAGGUGAGGCUGGAGGUGAAAUUAAUGAAAGGUAUAGGACAGAAAUCCUCAGGGGUCCCCUGAGGAUCAAGUGAAAAGGUUGCUACACCCAAAGGACCCUUUCUGAUUGAAACUAGUUUUAAUUUUUUAUCACAGUAAAUAGCUAAAUAGCUUCAAGUUCAGUCAGUAACAACAAGAACACAGAGACCAAAACAACAUCGGCUCCAUGGUAACACCUGGGUAGUGCUGUCAAGAUCACCUGAUGAUUUUUGAACAGGAUUCUCCAAACACAGUGUUUGCAGCGUUUUAACUGGAGAUUUCAUUUCCAAACACCAACCUGAACCUACAAGCAUCUCUCGCUAUUUGCUGUGACUCGACGAACGCUUUGGAAAAAUAUCGACAGCUAAACAAGUGUAACAGCGACUCUUCAGUGUUUCCUGAGCCCAAAUGGACCCAACAUUUGUCUCAGAAAAUCUGGCAUCUUGGGCAGUGCAGACUAGCGCUGCUGAUAUGAAACAGCAGCAGGAAGCUAACAGGAUUGCUGAAAGUGAAACGGUGCAAGAAUUAAAAGAUGCACUCCAUUUUGCCACUCAGGAGUUGAAGACUGCAAAGGAGGAAAAUGCAUCGUUAAAGAAGAAGAUUGCCGUCCUUGAAGAUGCUCACAAAAUGGAAGUGAGUAGCCUCCAAGAAGAGCUCAAACUCAAGGAUGAGGCGCUUCAAAGGUGUGUGAAGAAAAGAAGAGCUCGAACCAAAGCCUGGGUAGAACUCCUCCAUGAAUCGACGAUAAAAGACAUGGAGAUAAACACCAGGGAACAACACUGGAGCAGCAAGUGGCAAUCAACCGAGAAGAGUCUGAAAGAGGAGAAAAAAAAGUGGAGGAGCUCCAAAUUAAGAACAAGCUUCUGUUUGAGAAAUUACAGGAAAAUCUGGACACAUGGAAGAACGUCCUUCAGGAGCUUGCACCCAAUGCUGACCACCAGGAAGAAACCCUGGAAACAAAUUCCCAUGAGGAAAAACUGGAAAGCCACGAGGGAGAAGAGGAGGGAAUGGACAAACCAAGAAAGGACGAGAAAAAGCAGGAAGAAAAGGAGGAAAAGCAGGAGACAGAAGAGGACAUCGAAGGAAACCUCGAGAGAAAAAGUGACGAGAAGAUGGAAGAUAAAACAGCAACUGAAGAUCUAAACCCAAACCUCUGCCUGGUUCCCAUCCCUCUCACUCCCUCCGACUCUUGCCCUUUACCCCCUGUCCCUACACCCCAACUCAACCCCCCUGCCUCCUCCCUACCUUACCCACUCUCUCGUGCCCUUUCCUACUCUUCACCCAGCUCUUAUUCUUUACGCCACACCCUUAGUCUCCACACCUUCCCCCAAUCCUCCUCCCAACCUUACUCGGUCUCUCGUGCUCCCUCCUACUAUUUACCCUUGUUUUCCAAACCUGUGCAGCCCCUAAACUCUAAUGAAAUUUUUGAUCUGCUUUUUUGUUCAUUUUAAAAUAAACAUGUGAAAUUUCAUUAAA
ensembl:lncRNA